rnacentral:snRNA from 1 species
GUAUGUGAGGGCGGUCUGUCUGCGACAUCUGUCACCCCAUCGAUUGCCAGGGUUGGUCUGGCUGAUUUGGCUCAUCUGGCUGGCUAGGCGGGUGUCCCCUUCCUCCCUUACCACUCCAUGUGUGUCUCUCCCAAAGCUGUGUGCUCAGUCGAAGAUGACACCUUCCCGGAAUAGAGAUAGACAGGUCUUUGGUCUAGGGUAUGUGAGUAGCUGCACUCCCCUUCUAGAACUUCCAAACAAGCUCUCAAGAGAUGCUGGGAAUGAUGAAAAGAGAUUGGAAAUUGGUAG